rnacentral:rRNA from 1 species
UACGUAGGGUGCGAGCGUUAAUCGGAAUUACUGGGCGUAAAGCGUGCGCAGGCGGUCUGUUAAGACCGAUGUGAAAUCCCCGGGCUUAACCUGGGGAACUGCGUUUCUAACUGGCAGGCUUGAGUGUGGCAGAGGGGGGUGGAAUUCCACGUGUAGCAGUGAAAUGCGUAGAGAUGUGGAGGAACACCGAUGGCGAAGGCAGCCCCCUGGGCUA